GAUGAACGCUGGCGGCGUGCCUAAUACAUGCAAGUAGAACGCUGAAGGAGGAGCUUGCUCUUCUGGAUGAGUUGCGAACGGGUGAGUAACGCGUAGGUAACCUGCCUGUUAGCGGGGGAUAACUAUUGGAAACGAUAGCUAAUACCGCAUGACAACAGUUAUUGCAUGAUAACUGUUUAAAAGGGGCAACUGCUCCACUACCAGAUGGACCUGCGUUGUAUUAGCUAGUUGGUGAGGUAACGGCUCACCAAGGCGACGAAGCAUAGCCGACCUGCGAGGGGGGUCGGCCAGACUGGGACGGAGACACGGCACAGACGCAUACGGGAGGCAGCAGGAGGGAAUCGUGGGGAAUGGGCGGAAGUCUGAGCGAGAAACGCCGCGGGAGUGAAGAAGGAUGUCGGAUCGUAAAGCUCUGUUGUAAGAGAAGAACGAGUGUGAGAGUGGAAAGUUCACACUGUGACGGUAACUGACCAGAAAGGGACGGCUAACUACGUG
rnacentral:rRNA from 1 species